AUACAACCAACUCUUGAUCUUCAUGAAACUCUGUAUAACAAGCCUUAAAAAAUGGAAGUGAGAUAAUACUGAAGAGUUUCAUCAAGGUACAUCAGAAUUAAUAUCAACAUGGAAAAGAGGAGAGAAGAUUUAUGCAAAAGUGUUUCCUGGCCUUGAAGCAGGAAGAACAAGAACAUGGCAAAGGGUGAUCAUGCAAUAAAUUUGCUGAAUGAAGAAAUGGAUGAUUAGAAAUCUAGUCAAUGGUGCUCAUAUGAUGAGAGGAAGAAUGUUGCAUGCGACAGAGGACAUUCAGGAUAGAAGACAGGAAAAGGAGUGUCUAAUGUAAAGAUAACAGGAAACCCUCUGAGCCUGCAGACUGAAGCAGCAGUUAUAUGCAGAGACCUCUCACUAGAGCCUGGUGCCUUUCAACAUUCAAGUUAUACAUCCAGCCCUCAAUUCUGCCUGCUAUAUAUCCUACGAGUGUGGAUGCCAUAGCCUCCGUGACACCAACACCUGAUCCCAAAUUAAGUUAUAGUUCUUGAAGAAAUGGGAAUACAGUCAACCUCUCAAAACCUAGCAUGGUUCAUGUUUAUUCUGAAAAACUGAGUGUUCACUGGGCCUUGUCAAAAGCAAGUGUUUAAGUCUAGAAUACGGUGACCCAAAUGAAGUAAAUUCACUAAGGUAGUGGGCUCUGAGGCCUGAGUGGUCAGUUAGUAUCCUCCUGUGUCCCUCCAUCCUCAUGAGCAGGCAAGGGGGUGUGUAGGUAGGUGGGACUCUGAAACGCUUGGCUAAAACACAAGGAUGAAGAGGAUGUUCUGAUAGGGAAGAGGAGAAUCUUCUAACUAUGCAGAAAAGCAGAGACGAGCAACCUAAUCACAUGUAGCAGUCUCUCCUUAUCCUUGGGGGGUGCACCCCACCACUCCCUGUGGGUGCUUGAAAACAGGGACAGUACCACACCCUAUAUUAACUCUUUUUUUUCCUGUACAUACAUACCUUUGAUAAAGUUUAUCAAUUAGGCUCAGUAAGAGAUUAACAACUAAUACUAAAAAUAAUAAAAUACUAAUACUAAAUACUAAAAUAAAAUAACUAAUUCUAGUUUUGCAUAGAACUAUAGCAAUGUACAUAAUAAAAGUUAUAUGAAUGUGGCCUCUCUCAAAAUAUCUUGUUAUACUGUACUCAACCCUCUUGGGAUGAUGGGAGAUGAUAAAAUGUCUACAUGAUAAGAAGGGAAGAGAGUAAUGGCAUUGUGACGUAGUGUUAGGCUACUAACACUAAUCAUCAGAUGAAGAAUCAUCUGCUUCCAGACCAGACCACUGGUAACUGAAGCUGCAGAAAGGAAAAGAGGGAUGACUGUAGCCUUGAGAAAGAGGAAAUGUUUAGAGAGAAGUCCAUGUAUUCUUUCAUAUUCAUUUUUUCAUCCAACAUAUAAUGACUGAGUGCCUCCUACAGCACAUGUCCAGAAUACACUGGAUGCUGGAGACAGGAAGAUGCCUCUGCUCUCUAGGAAUGCUACAUUCUCUCGAAGCUUUGCUUUAUAGAAGCUCAAAGUGACUUAAAUAUGUUUAAGUCUCUGAAAAUUGGGAUCUAAGGAAAUUGGUAAAUUAUGAAUUGAGCACUAAAUGAUAUAAGGUGUCUUCAACUUUCUCAGUAUGAGAUCUUUGUCUGCUAAGUUGACUUUUCUCUCCAAGGAAGCCUCUAUAAACCUCACACCAUGACCCGGAUCAGAACUAUCACUCCCGAGCCACCUGGGCUCCACAUGAAUGGGGGCAACACUUGAUCUCAGUGGCUGAGGUCAGGGCUGCUGGGUCCCAGCAGUCUCCUCUUACUUCAGAGACUAUGUCAGCACAUUGUGAUGCAGGAGCAGGAGCACAAUGCCCAGAGCAGCCAGGCCUCCUGUACUUCUUUUACUAAGUGGUUAGCUGCCUGCCCAAUAGACAUAAACACCUUCGGCCAAAGAAAUGUGAGAAGUGUUGGAAACCUGCUGUUGGGAGACUAUUCUCCUGAGUAGACAUCCAGGAGAUCUCCAGAGAUCUAUUUCAGCCUCACGUCUAUACUUCAUCAUGAAAAGGAGGAAGCCCAAACUGAAAUGAGUUAAGAACUUUGUCUCCAAGAGAAGACUGUGGCUUGGCCCUGCAUUGAGCACCAUGAAGAAGAACAAGAGGAACCCCACCACAAGGAUCAAUGAGCGAGACGCCAUCUCUAUCCCAACCUCCCAGGAUCCAAGAAAUCUUCAAAAUAUGUUGGAUGGAGGAGAGUAUGCCCCUUUUGUAUCUCCUCCCAUAUUAGAGAGCAAUUUUAUCCAGGUUAACAGGAGAGGUGAAUCCAUUUACCUUCAUAACCGAGCCAACUGGGUGACUAUAGGCAUCUGCUCUUCCAGUGAAACCCGCAAGACCCCCAACGUGAUGCUUCUGGCACAUCUGACACCUGAAGCUCAGAAAAAUACAAAAUCCCUGUUUCAGAGUCUCCUGACAUCUCCUUCACCGCAGAACCUGGUGCUCACCAGGUUCCUCCCUCUGCAGUUUGUGACCCUUUCUGUGCACGAUGCUGAGAACAUGCGCCUCAAAGUAAAGCUGGUGAGUGGUCGAGCCUACUACCUACAGCUCUGCGCCCCUGCGUGUAAACAAGACACCCUCUUUUGUCAGUGGGUAGAACUCAUUUCCCUCUUGAAUGAGGAAAAAGCCAAAGUUUCCAAAUUGUCAGAAGUCUCAAGCCUCUCAGAAAUCACGAAUAGCACCGACAUCACGGGCUCGGGGGACAUCAUGGAUAUUGCAGCCUGCACAACCCUACAGAGCCCACCCUUGUGCUUGUGUUCAGAACCUGUACAUGCUGUAGAAAGCACUGAUUUCUCAGAUUUCACCGAUGUCACCGACGUCACUGAUGUCACCGACGUCACAGAUGUUCCAGAAAAUGAGGACACAGAGGCCCCAGAUAUAAAUAUUGUCACAGAAGUCACAGAAGUCACAGACCUCUGUGACGACCCAAACUGCUCGGAGGUCACAGUGGUGUUUGAAAAUGAUGACAUACUAAGGGCCAAGCAAGAGGAAAAGGAAAAAAUGGGAAACACUCUGAAGCCUGGGUGUCUACGAGAUACAAAAAUUAAGAACGAGUUCAGAGAACCCUCAAAACAUGUCACCAUCUCAAAUGUAACGCUGACUUUCCAAGGUGAACGAUGUUUUCAUACUACCUUGACUCAAGAAGAAAGUGACACGAGUUCAUCCAACCAGCUGAGCGCCAGAUCCUCUGAAAUAAGGACAACUGAAUUUAAAAACCUAGCUCUCAAGGCUGAAGAAUCCAGGAGCAUGAGAACUGACUCGGUCACCUCAGGCUUACAUAGUUUUUCCAUUUUCCCUCUGAUUAGCAUUUCCUUACCUGUUGCCACACUCCUCUGAAUCACUUCUUUCCCCUUUCAUACUUACUUACUCACAUUUUCCACUUCCUACCCCAAGAAGAGCAAAGAUUAGUAGAAUCUUACUUCCUUGUCCCUGGAAUUUAGACUGAAUGUAGAUGAAAAAUGAGUCGGUGAAUCUGAUUUCUAUUCCAGGCAGUUCCCGUAGCAAUUAAACAAAACCAAACCAAACCAAAAAAAUGGUACCAUUAACCUAUUCAGGUUCACCAUCACCCAACUCCUUUACACCCAUGCCUGGGGACCAUGGUCUCUUAUUCAUGUCUCAAAUCUCUCAGCAGUUUGACACUUUGCUCCUUUCUGAGUAAGGCUUCAUCAAGGGGCAUUGCGCACAUACUCUUUUUAUGACAAGGCUACAAGGCAUAGUUCAGGCUGACACUGUCUCUCUGGAUCUGGGCCCACCGCUCCCUUUUCUUGACUUUUAAUUUCUUACCUAUCUAGGUAUUACUCACCUUAGCUCUGCUGAUCUCUUUGUGGGAAGCCCAAAUUUAGGUUUACCUAUGGUCCAAUGUUAUUUUCCCAAGAUGGUAGGCAAUUGGACAAAAGACAGAGAGCUGAGAAAGACCCACAGGGGAAAAUGGCUUAUGAAAUCUGGGGCAUGUGCUCUCCAUCCAAACCCAUCUUUCUUUUCCACUUUUCUCUGAACUAUUGCAAAUCAAAUUCCUUGAAAUCCUAAAUAGCCAGGUUCAGUCUCUGUUUAUGAAACACCAUCUAAAAAAAGAAAGGGUGGGGGGACCCCAAAAGGGAAGCUGUUUGUGAAAUCUAACAAUGGGCUCCAUUGGAAAGAAUAAAGACAUUUUUUUUUUAAAUUUAAGACCAAAUUAAGUUGUCUCUCCUUCUGUGCUUUUUUUCUCUCCUGCUUCUGGCUUUUUCCUUUCUUCCUCACUUCCCUCUCUCUUUUCCACUCUCCCCACUAUUUUUCAUUUGCCUCUGGCUCCCUCCUCUUAUGUCAAUCUACUUCCCUCAAUCUCAUGCCUUAUGUGUGUCCCCUUUUCUCAGGGGAAUGGAUGUGAGGAAAGGAAAGUAAAACAGGAAAAGAAAAGGCCAAUGGGGAAAACAUGUAAGACAACCAAAAGAUAAAUACAAACUACUAAACUAAAAAACAAGCAUGGCUCAAGAAAUAACAACCAACACAAGAGGAAAAAAAAAGCAGUGUCUUCCAUGUGGCAGAAAUAAAGGCUACUACUAAUCAAUCACUGA